AACGCGCCCAUUAUCACCCCAUUUCCUGUCCGACGGAAUCAAGUAUUUCCGCUGUUUUCGAGUGACAGUUUAGUCUUCCGCAUAAUAUGCCAAAGACAGCAGGGUGUAAGAACAAAACGACAGGUAGCUAGCUAUACAAUUAAAGCUGAGGCAGGGAUGCAUCUGACAUCCAUCCGCAGUGAUCGUCACUGGAUGUGAUAAGUAGGCGGGCCUUCUUCUGACCAGUCGACGGGGCCAAUAGCUGCAAGCAGCAGUUGUGGGCACACCCCUUGAGUGGUGGGCGUUGCCAAAGCUACUCGGCCUUUACUAUCAUUGGCUGUGACUGGAGGAGCAACCAAGUAGCUGACUGACGCUUCAUUAGUGGGUGGACCCAGUCCAGAGUGAAAGGCGUGGCCAGUUAUGGAGAGCAUAAGUGGUAGCAGCGUGGACUCGAGAAACACCCUUCGGGGCAUAAACACCACACCUCUCUUGGCCCGCAUAGAGUCUUAUGAGGCUAGCGAGAAGAAGUGCAUCUCCGAUGUCAGGAGGACAUUCUGCCUCUUUGUCACCUUCGACCUCCUCUUCAUCACCUUGCUCUGGAUCAUUGAGCUCAAUGUGAAUGGAGGAAUCGAGACGCGGCUCGAUAAGGAGGUCUUACACUAUGACUACCACGCCUCAUUCUUCGACAUAUUUCUCCUGGCUGUGUUACGGUUUGCAGCCCUAAUCUUGGCCUAUGCUGUUUGUAAACUGCGUCACUGGUGGGCCAUAGCGAUAACCACAGCAACCACAAGUGCUUUCCUGAUUGCAAAAGUCAUUUUAUCAAAGCUCCUUUCCCAGGGGGCCUUUGGGUACCUGCUGCCCAUCAUCUCUUUCAUCCUGGCCUGGAUUGAGACGUGGCUACUAGACUUUAAGGUUCUACCUCAGGAGGCUGACGAUGAGAACAGAUUUCUUUCUAUAAUGGACGUCCCUGAAAGGACCCCCUUCGUGCAACCAGGACCACUUUCAGAUGGGCAGUUCUACUCCCCACCCGAGUCUGUGGCAGACUCUGAUGAGGAGCUGUUGGAUGAUAAACAUGACCCGGAGAAGGCUCUUAUUUAGCAGGCCAGCUGAAGUUUUGGAGCUGACAUAUAUGCCCCUUGGUCUGAGAUUUGUUAACGCCUCAAUUCGUCGGGGCAUGGGCUCGACAAGAUGUCAAACGUUCCACUGGGAUGCUGGCCCAUGUUAACUCCAAAGAUUUCAGCAGUUGUCAAGUUGGCUGGAUGUCCUUUGGGUAGUGGACCAAUCUUGUGGGAAACUUCUGAGCGUGAAAAACACAGCAGUGUUGCAGUUCUUGACACACUCAAACUGGUGCGCCUGGCACCUACUACCAUAUCCCCCAUUCAAAGGCACUUAAAUCUAUUGUCUUGCCCAUUCACCCUCUGAAUGGCACACACACAGUCCAUAUCUCAAUUGUCUGCAAGGCUUAAAAAUAAUUCUUAAACCUGUAUCUUCAUCUACACAAAUGGCGCAGAACGUCAUCUCAGAACACACAACUCACCGGUCCUUGUCACGGAUGGGCUGUUGCAGCAGAUGACCAUACCAAGUUCCACUCCUAUCAGCUAAAAACUAUAAUCUGCCAUAGUGGGCACGCGAUCACCAACACUGGACAAUUGAGUGGAAAAACAUUGCCUGGUUCGACAAGUUCCUGUUUCAUGUUGAGUCAGGAUUUGGCGUGAGCAGUAUAAAUCCAUAACCCCAUUAAGCCUGGUGUCAACGGUACAUGCUGCUGGCAGUGGUAUAAUGGUGUUGGGAAUGUUUUUCUGGCACAUUUUAGGUCCCUUGAUACCAAUUGAGCAAUGUGUCCAUGCCCUGAAGAAUUCAGGCUGUUCUGGAGGAAAAGGGUUUUCUGACCUGGUACUAGAUGGGUGUACUUAAUAAACUGGCUGCUGAGUGUAUGUGUAAAUAUAACAUUUGAAUGGCUAUUGUCAAAAUGUAAUUUUGUGAAUGUUGACAUGAAAAUACUUCCAUAAUACAUUUCUGGUUUGAUUAAUUAUGUAGGUCAUAAUAUAAUUGGUGUUUGUUUGCUUAUAAUAUGCUUUGUUUUGUUUUUGAGAAGUACCAGUGGUCAUCCUGGGAGGUGAAACCCAUUUGAAGAUUCACAACCCUGAGUGACUGCGUCUAAAGUUACUCAAGUGCUCACAGCAGCUGCCCCAUCUAACCACGGGGAAGACUUACGACCACUGCAUGUUCUUUAUUCCUCCAAUGAGAGCUCUGUAUUCCUCAGCCUAUCACCUUCUACACACCUGCUUCAUGUCCCUUUGCCUCUUCACUCAAGCUUCCAAACAAUUAUUUUUAAGAACUGAGUGCAUACUGAUUUGUUUUUGUUGCCAGAUAUAAGUUCGUGAUGUGCUUAUUCUUGUAUCUCUUGCUGAUAUGGUUAGAAGCUUCAAAAUCAGUUCAGAAUUGAAGUUUGAGAAGUCUGCAUGGGCAGUGUGUGGCUAUAGGGCUAUUGAGCUCUAAGGAUGGCACUUGAAUAUAAAUAGAUUACUCAGAUUUUUUUUGUUGUUGAUAUUAAGCAAACUCCUUCGGACAGCUGUCAAGGGGGGAAAUAUAGACUACGUAACCAACACAGCUGUGCCUGCAUAUGUAACGACUUCAGUUGGUAAUUAUAUAUGUCUGAAUGCAUGACUUUGGGAACUCAAUGACAAUGUUUUUUGAUUUCUACUUCUGACUACCCUCUCUUCAUCAUAGGAAAGGAAGAAAUUGUAUACAGCACAUGUUUUUAAUCACUGGAAAGUGUUAUACCGUUUGUUUUCUCAUCUGACCAUUUGGAAGUAGAAGGGCAUUAGCCCGGAAGCUUCUUAGUAAACUUUCCACUUGGCUUUGCAAAAUGUAUCAAUACACACAUUUUUUUUAAAUGGCAGAAUACAUUUCCCAUGAAUUCAUAUUAGAGUUCAACACUGGUAUAUUUUACACCACCUGGAAGUUUCAUACUUUUAAUCAAAAUAUCUGCAUGGUAUGUUUUCAAAGUGAACCGUCCCAAAGCUUUUUAUGCAGAAGCAGACUAAUGGAGUUUGUGCUCUUAUCAUGGUGAAUGCAGUUCCACACAUGGGAAUACACAAACAAACAGCUAACACAGAGGGAACCGUUUAAUGUAGUUACUCCCACAAUUUCCAUUCACCAUGACAAGACUAUGAAAAUGGCAAUAAAACAUGCUUCCUGGGACUAUUACAGAUCCCAGUUGUGUGUACAUAUCACCAUGGAAAUAACAUGGGUAGGAUGUAGAUUUUACACUGAAAUGUAUAUUUGAUAACCUUUUAUUAGGUUAACCUCUGAAAAUGAAUGUGUGUUGGCAUGUAAUGCUCUUAACUUGCAUUCAUAAUUAGUGGAUGCUGAUGCAUGGACCUGUAAUCAAGAAUUUCAAUGCGAUCAGUGGUAGAUCCGCAUAAUAGUGUGCUUAACAUUUUAAAGUGAUUUCCGAUUGAGCCUGAAAGAGUUUACCGCACUUACUAUGCGUGAUUGCAGUUUCUGUGAACAUGGGAACAUUGGCUUUUUAUAAAAGGUGUAGACGACAAAGCGCAAUCGGAUUGAAUACCCACGAAAGAGAGUAUAGUCUUCACUUUUAUUUAACUUUUAACUUGGCAAGUCAGUUAAGAACAAAUUCUUAUUUGCAAUGACUGCCUACCCCGGCCAAACCCAAACCCGGACGACGCUGGGCCAAUUGUGCGCAGCCCUAUGGAACUCCCAAUCACGACCGGUUAUGAUACAGCUUGGAAUCAAACCAGGGUCUGUAGUGGCACCUCUAGCACUGAGACCGCUGCACCACUCAAUACAGUAAAAUAAUAAGGUUCACCAUUCAAGACACCCAAGUUCAUUUUCACAGUGGCAAGCCUGUGUGCAUUUAGGAAUUAAUGGUUGGUUACCACGUUUGAUCAAGAAUUACAUUGCUUGUCAAUUCAAUUAAGCAAUAAUCUGUAUCUAGCUUUAUGAGUUAUUGGUUUUACUCGUCUUUGUAUUUAGUUUUGGAUUAAAGUGAAAAUUGUAUGAUUUGUUAAUGAUGGUAUAUGUUCUGUUUUGCAUUUAAUUCGAUUUUAAUACAAAUAAAUUGCACAUUGUUAAAGGGC